rnacentral:miRNA from 1 species
CAGAACAAUGCUGCGGCAGGGCUU